CUUCUUGAAAUGGCCCCACCAUGGAUCC
rnacentral:piRNA from 1 species